CCCUUAGAUGUUCUGGGCCGCACACGCGCUACACUGAAGGAGGCAGCGUGUACUCCUGGAUCGAAAGAUUUGGGUAACCCGCGAAUCUCCUUCGUGCUAGGGAUUGAGGUUUGCAAUUAUCCUUCAUGAACGAGGAAUUCCCAGUAAGUGCAAGUCAUAAGCUUGCGCUGACUACGUCCCUGCCCUUUGUACACACCGCCCGUCGCUACUACCGAUUGAAUGAUUUAGUGAGGACUUCGGACUGGGACCGAUGCGGCUUUCGGGCUGCGUCGGUAUUCUGGAAAGAUGUCCAAACUGUAUCAUUUAGAGGAAGGAGAAGUCGUAACA
rnacentral:rRNA from 1 species